ensembl:lncRNA
AUUCUUGCCUGGAGAAUCCCAUGGACGGAGGAACUUGUCAGCCUUGUGAGUGAAAUCGGCCAGUCUCUGCCAAGCUCACUGUGUUAAAGAUACCAGUCAUCACCUUCCUACCCACACUUCCUGAGGGAAAAUUUCGUGCCCAAAGCUCUGACCCUUAAUGACCGGCACCACUUGUUGCCCCACUCUCGACUCAGCAGCAGCAGCAGCGUGAUGGAUUGGGGUGGUCAGAAGCAAGUCAUUUUUUGGUCAUCUGUCUUAAAAAGUAUUUCACACUGGCUUCAGGCUGUUCGUUUUCAAUCAUGUUUUUGCCCUUCUGCCUGGAUAUAAACAUUCCUGUCUCACCUGCAGCAGCUGGCAGAUGCCAGAGGUUUAUAAAAGAGCAUAGGGACAUAAGAAC